CCUUGUACACACCGCCCGUCACGCCAUGGGAGUCGGAUUGCACCAGAAGUAGGUAGGUUAACCGCAAGGGGGCCGCUUACCACGGUGUGUUUCAUGACUGGGGUG
rnacentral:rRNA from 1 species